GCGCAAGUGGCGGAACUGGCAGACGCGCAGGAUUUAGGUUCCUGUGUCCUCGGACGUGGGGGUUCAAGUCCCCCCUUGCGCA
rnacentral:tRNA from 1 species